rnacentral:rRNA from 1 species
AGUGAACGCUGGCGGUAGGCCUAACACAUGCAAGUCGGACGGCAGCACAGUAAGAGCUCGCUCUUACGGGUGGCGAGUGGCGGACGGGUGAGGAAUACAUCGGAAUCUACUUUUUCGUGGGGGAUAACGUAGGGAAACUUACGCUAAUACCGCAUACGACCUACGGGUGAAAGCAGGGGAUCUUCGGACCUUGCGCGAUUGAAUGAGCCGAUGUCGGAUUAGCUAGUUGGCGGGGUAAAGGCCCACCAAGGCGACGAUCCGUAGCUGGUCUGAGAGGAUGAUCAGCCACACUGGAACUGAGACACGGUCCAGACUCCUACGGGAGGCAGCAGUGGGGAAUAUUGGACAAUGGGCGCAAGCCUGAUCCAGCCAUACCGCGUGGGUGAAGAAGGCCUUCGGGUUGUAAAGCCCUUUUGUUGGGAAAGAAAAGCAGCAGGUUAAUACCCCGCUGUUCUGACGGUACCCAAAGAAUAAGCACCGGCUAACUUCGUG